UCCCUGGUGGUCUAGUGGGUAAGACUCCACCCUACCGACACAGGGGGCCCAGGUUCAAUCCCUGGACAGGGAA
rnacentral:tRNA from 1 species